rnacentral:rRNA from 1 species
GAUGAACGCUGGCGGCGUGCCUAAUACAUGCAAGUCGAGCGAACAGACGAGGAGCUUGCUCCUCUGACGUUAGCGGCGGAAGGGUGAGUAAAACGUGGAUAACCUACCUAUAAGACUGGGAUAACUUCGGGAAACCGGAGCUAAUACCGGAUAAUUUAUUGAACCGCAUGGUUCAAUAGUGAAAGACGGUUUUGCUGUCACUUAUAGAUGGAUCCGCGCCGCAUUAGCUAGUUGGUAAGGUAACGGCUUACCAAGGCAACGAUGCGUAGCCGACCUGAGAGGGGGAACGCCGACACAGGAACUGAGCCACGACACAGACUCCUAGGGGAGGCACAAACAGGGACUGUUCCGCACUGGGCGGAAGACUGCCGGAGGAGCGCCGCGUGAGUGAUGAAGGUCCUCGGACGGUAAGACUCUGUUAUUAUGGUAGACCAAUUGCGUAAGUAACUAUGCUUGUCGUGACGGUACCUACACAGAAAGCAACGGCUAACUACGUG